GCGAACUCUGUGCGCUGUGGCGAGGGCAGACGGAGGGGGGGGGCGUGGUGCGGAGUACAGUGGCGUAAGGGGCGCGUAGGUGGCGGCGCAAGUCGGUGUGGAAAGCUCGACGCUGAACGUCGAGUCGGCCAUCGAAACUGGGGGGCUGGAGCACUGUAGGGGCAGAUGGAAUUCCGGGUGUAGCGGUGGAAUGCGUAGAGAUCCGGAAGAACACCGGUGGCGAAGGCGGUCUGCUGGGCAGUUGCUGACACUGAUGCGCGACAGCGUGGGGAGCAAACAGGAUUAGAUACCCGGGUAGUC
rnacentral:rRNA from 1 species